rnacentral:tRNA from 1 species
AUGGUUGAGUGGUAAAGCGUUUGGCUUCCGAACCCAGGUAUCCGGGUUCGAAUCCUGGU